rnacentral:rRNA from 1 species
GACGAACGCUGGCGGCGUGCUUAACACAUGCAAGUCGAACGGAAAGGCCCUGCUUUUGUGGGGUGCUCGAGUGGCGAACGGGUGAGUAACACGUGAGUAACCUGCCCUUGACUUUGGGAUAACUUCAGGAAACUGGGGCUAAUACCGGAUAGGAGCUCCUGCUGCAUGGUGGGGGUUGGAAAGUUUCGGCGGUUGGGGAUGGACUCGCGGCUUAUCAGCUUGUUGGUGGGGUAGUGGCUUACCAAGACUUUGACGGGUAGCCGGCCUGAGAGGGUGACCGGCCACAUUGGGACUGAGAUACGGCCCAGACUCCUACGAGAGGCAGCAGUGGGGAAUAUUGCACAAUGGGCGGAAGCCUGAUGCAGCAACGCCGCGUGCGGGAUGACGGCCUUCGGGUUGUAAACCGCUUUCGCCUGUGACGAAGCGUGAGUGACGGUAAUGGGUAAAGAAGCACCGGCUAACUACGUG